rnacentral:rRNA from 1 species
UACGGGAGGCAGCAGUGAGGAAUAUUGGUCAAUGGGCGAGAGCCUGAACCAGCCAAGUAGCGUGCAGGAUGACGGCCCUAUGGGUUGUAAACUGCUUUUAUGCGGGGAUAAAGUGCACCACGUGUAGUGUUUUGUAUGUACCGCAUGAAUAAGGACCGGCUAAUUCCGUGCCAGCAGCCGCGGUAAU